rnacentral:rRNA from 2 species
CAGGUUGAAGGUUGGGUAACACUAACUGGAGGACCGAACCGACUAAUGUUGAAAAAUUAGCGGAUGACCUGUGGCUGGGGGUGAAAGGCCAAUCAAACCGGGAGAUAGCUGGUUCUCCCCGAAAGCUAUUUAGGUAGCGCCUCGUGAAUUCAUCUCCGGGGGUAGAGCACUGUUUCGGCUAGGGGGCCAUCCCGGCUUACCAACCCGAUGCAAACUGCGAAUACCGGAGAAUGUUAUCACGGGAGACACACGGCGGGUGCUAACGUCCGUCGUGAAGAGGGAAACAACCCAGACCGCCAGCUAAGGUCCCAAAGUCAUGGUUAAGUGGGAAACGAUGUGGGAAGGCCCAGACAGCCAGGAUGUUGGCUUAGAAGCAGCCAUCAUUUAAAGAAAGCGUAAUAGCUCACUGGUCGAGUCGGCCUGCGCGGAAGAUGUAACGGGGCUAAACCAUGCACCGAAGCUGCGGCAGCGACGCUGAUGCGUUGUUGGGUAGGGGAGCGUUCUGUAAGCCUGCGAAGGUGGCCUGUGAGGGUUGCUGGAGGUAUCAGAAGUGCGAAUGCUGACAUAAGUAACGAUAAAGCGGGUGAAAAGCCCGCUCGCCGGAAGACCAAGGGUUCCUGUCCAACGUUAAUCGGGGCAGGGUGAGUCGACCCCUAAGGCGAGGCCGAAAGGCGUAGUCGAUGGGAAACGGGUUAAUAUUCCCGUACUUGGUGUUACUGCGAAGGGGGGACGGAGAAGGCUAUGUUGGCCGGGCGACGGUUGUCCCGGUUUAAGCGUGUAGGUGUGUGUUCCAGGUAAAUCCGGUUCACUUUAACACUGAGGCGUGAUGACGAGGCACUACGGUGCUGAAGCAACAAAUGCCCUGCUUCCAGGAAAAGCCUCUAAGCAUCAGGUAACAUCAAAUCGUACCCCAAACCGACACAGGUGGUCAGGUAGAGAAUACCAAGGCGCUUGAGAGAACUCGGGUGAAGGAACUAGGCAAAAUGGUGCCGUAACUUCGGGAGAAGGCACGCUGACACGUAGGUGAAGUGAUUUACUCAUGGAGCUGAAGUCAGUCGAAGAUACCAGCUGGCUGCAACUGUUUAUUAAAAACACAGCACUGUGCAAACACGAAAGUGGACGUAUACGGUGUGACGCCUGCCCGGUGCCGGAAGGUUAAUUGAUGGGGUCAGCGCAAGCGAAGCUCCUGAUCGAAGCCCCGGUAAACGGCGGCCGUAACUAUAACGGUCCUAAGGUAGCGAAAUUCCUUGUCGGGUAAGUUCCGACCUGCACGAAUGGCGUAAUGAUGGCCAGGCUGUCUCCACCCGAGACUCAGUGAAAUUGAACUCGCUGUGAAGAUGCAGUGUACCCGCGGCAAGACGGAAAGACCCCGUGAACCUUUACUAUAGCUUGACACUGAACAUUGAGCCUUGAUGUGUAGGAUAGGUGGGAGGCUUUGAAGUGUGGACGCCAGUCUGCAUGGAGCCGGCCUUGAAAUACCACCCUUUAAUGUUUGAUGUUCUAACGUGGACCCGUGAUCCGGGUUGCGGACAGUGUCUGGUGGGUAGUUUGACUGGGGCGGUCUCCUCCUAAAGAGUAACGGAGGAGCACGAAGGUUGGCUAAUCCUGGUCGGACAUCAGGAGGUUAGUGCAAUGGCAUAAGCCAGCUUGACUGCGAGCGUGACGGCGCGAGCAGGUGCGAAAGCAGGUCAUAGUGAUCCGGUGGUUCUGAAUGGAAGGGCCAUCGCUCAACGGAUAAAAGGUACUCCGGGGAUAACAGGCUGAUACCGCCCAAGAGUUCAUAUCGACGGCGGUGUUUGGCACCUCGAUGUCGGCUCAUCACAUCCUGGGGCUGAAGUAGGUCCCAAGGGUAUGGCUGUUCGCCAUUUAAAGUGGUACGCGAGCUGGGUUUAGAACGUCGUGAGACAGUUCGGUCCCUAUCUGCCGUGGGCGCUGGAGAACUGAGGGGGGCUGCUCCUAGUACGAGAGGACCGGAGUGGACGCAUCACUGGUGUUCGGGUUGUCAUGCCAAUGGCACUGCCCGGUAGCUAAAUGCGGAAGAGAUAAGUGCUGAAAGCAUCUAAGCACGAAACUUGCCCCGAGAUGAGUUCUCCCUGAGACUUAGAGUCUCCUGAAGGAACGUUGAAGACGACGACGUUGAUAGGCCGGGUGUGUAAGCGCAGCGAUGCGUUGAGCUAACCGGUACUAAUGAACCGUGAGGCUUAACCUUACA